UACGUAGGUGGCAAGCGUUGUUCGGAAUUAUUGGGCGUAAAGGGCGCGUAGGCGGCAUGUUAAGUCGGGUGUGAAAGCCCCGGGCUCAACCUGGGAAUUGCAUUCGAGACUGCAUUGCUGGAGUACGGAAGAGGAAGGCGGAAUUCCCGGUGUAGCGGUGAAAUGCGUAGAUAUCGGGAGGAACAUCAGUGGCGAAGGCGGCCUUCUGGUCCAGUACUGACACUCAAGUGCGAAAGCGUGGGGAGCAAACAGG
rnacentral:rRNA from 1 species